rnacentral:rRNA from 1 species
UACGUAGGGGGCAAGCGUUGUCUGGAUUUAUUGGGCGUAAAGCGCUCGCAGGCGGCUCGAUGCGUCGUGCGUGAAACACCCCGGCUCAACUGGGGAGGGUCGUGCGAUACGGUCGGGCUUGAGGCCAGUAGGGGGAUGCGGAAUUCCGGGUGUAGUGGUGGAAUGCGUAGAGAUCCGGAGGAACACCAGCGGCGAAGGCGGCAUCCUGGACUGGUACUGACGCUCAUGAGCGAAAGCGUGGGGAGCGAGUCCGG